rnacentral:rRNA from 1 species
AUUGAACGCUGGCGGCAUGCCUUACACAUGCAAGUCGAACGGCAGCACGGGUGCUUGCACCUGGUGGCGAGUGGCGAACGGGUGAGUAAUACAUCGGAACGUACCUUAUCGUGGGGGAUAACGCAGCGAAAGCUGUGCUAAUACCGCAUACGCCCUGAGGGGGAAAGCGGGGGAUCGAAAGACCUCGCGCGAUUAGAGCGGCCGAUGCCUGAUUAGCUUGUUGGUGGGGUAAAAGCCCACCAAGCGACGAUCAGUAGCUGGUCUGAGAGGACGAUCAGCCACACUGGGACUGAGACAAGGCCCAGACUCCGACGGGAGGCAGCAGUGGGGAAUUUUGGACGAAGGGGGCAACCCUGACCCAGCAAUGCCGCGUGCGUGAAGAAGGCCUUCGGGUUGUAAAGCUCUUUUGUCAGGGAAGAAACACCGGCUCUAACACAGUCCGGGAAUGACGGUACCUGAAGAAUAAGCACCGGCUAACUACGUGCCAGCCGCCGCCGUAA